rnacentral:rRNA from 1 species
AGAAUCAACGCUGGCGGCGUGCCUCAGACAUGCAAGUCGAACGCGAAAGGUUCCUUCGGGGACCGAGUAGAGUGGCGCACGGGUGAGUAACACGUAGGUAAUUUGCCUUUGGGUGGGGGAAUAACUCAGGGAAACUUGAGCUAAUACCGCAUAAUGCAGCGGCUCGACAUCGAGACAGUUGUUAAAGCGGGGGAUCGCAAGACCUCGCGCCUGAAGAGAAGCCUGCGGCAGAUUAGCUAGUUGGUAAGGUAAUGGCUUACCAAGGCGACGAUCU